rnacentral:lncRNA from 1 species
CUGGCAGUGCUUUUGUGUUUCUAAGCAGAGGUGUAGGAGGAAUGCUCCAUCCCCACGAAGCUGAGCAGUAAUAGAUCGUAAUGCAUGCAGUUAAAAUUCUUAUUGAUGUUUAUUGAAUAAUAAUUAGUAUUUGUCUUUGAACAAAGGGAUUCGUAAAAUAUUUUAUGAGACCGGUAUUUUUAAAAUAGAAAAAAAAUCACGAUAUGAUAAGAUUGAAACAAAUCAAAUUAAAAAAAGUGCUUUUAAUCUGAACAUCAUCAUGCUAAAAGUUCUUUUGAGAUACAACUUAAUGGGUUACAAAUUGUAAUCCGCAUUACAGAUACAUGAUUGUAUCAACGUGGAAAAAUAUAUAUAUUCAUGAGGAACGAUUAAAAAGCAG